CCUACGGGUGGCAGCAGUGAGGAAUAUUGGUCAAUGGACGAGAGUCUGAACCAGCCAAGUAGCGUGAAGGAUGACUGCCCUAUGGGUUGUAAACUUCUUUUAUAUGGGAAUAAAAUGUUCCACGUGUGGGAUUUUGUAUGUACCAUAUGAAUAAGGAUCGGCUAACUCCGUGCCAGCAGCCGCGGUAAUACGGAGGAUCCGAGCGUUAUCCGGAUUUAUUGGGUUUAAAGGGAGCGUAGGUGGAUUGUUAAGUCAGGUGUGAAAGUUUGCGGCUCAACCGUAAAAUUGCAGUUGAAACUGGCAGUCUUGAGUACAGUAGAGGUGGGCGGAAUGCGUGGUGUAGCGGUGAAAUGCUUAGAUAUCACGAAGAACUCCGAUUGCGAAGGCAGUUCACUGGACUGCAACUGACACUGAGGCUCGAAAGUGUGGGUAUCAAACAGGAUUAGAUACCCGGGUAGUC
rnacentral:rRNA from 1 species